AUGAUUUCUGUCGUGCCAAACGAAAAAGACUUAACUUGCCUUUUUCAAUUUCUUUUCGGCCAUUUGGCCUGUAAUUUUUUGGUGCGGAUGUAAAAACCUUCAUAAAAUGUAACAACCUAUCUGUUACCGCCGUUUUGUCGGUUCGAGUCAUGGGUUUCAUCCUGGCUUUGGUGUUCCAGGAAUCUAAAUUCAUUUUUGGGAAUUGACCUCUUCAAAACAAAGGCCAGAAAUUUCAUUAUUAUUAUUUUAAGGUUAUGUAACUGUUUUCAACUUCUGCGUGAUCAUCAUGCAAGUUUCUAUUAUUGAACUUGAAUCAACGAAAUUAUACGGAUUUCUACACUUGGGAACAUUUCCGGCAAUUAAUUUUCAUACUGAAGAAAGAAUUAUAAGAAGACUUCAAUAAUUUAAUAUUUGUUAGAUGAAUUAAUUUUUUUAAUAAUAUUUGUUCAGUAACUUAAACUGUUUUUACUUAAAUCUAAUAUAAAUACUGGUACGUACCUAGUUGUCCACGAGCUCGUUACUUAAUAUAUAAUACUCAAUAAUGUUCUGUUAAUAUGUUAAUUGUUUUGUUGAUGUUUGUUUUACAUUGUUGUUUUUACAAAGGCCUAUAAUUACAACCAGCACCAAUCUGAUA